rnacentral:rRNA from 1 species
AAUAGAUACCCGGGUAGUCCACGCCGUAAACGAUGGGCACUAGGUCCUUGGGGGAGCGACCCCUUGAGGGCCGGCGCAAACGCAUUAAGUGCCCCGCCUGGGGAGUACGGCCGCAAGGCUGAAACUCAAAGGAAUUGACGGGGGCCCGCACAAGCGGUGGAGCAUGUGGUUUAAUUCGACGCAACGCGAAGAACCUUACCUGGGCUUGACAUGGCCGGGAAUUUCCGGGGAAACCUGGAAAGCUCUUCGGAGCUCGGUCACAGGUGCUGCAUGGCUGUCGUCAGCUCGUGUCGUGAGAUGUUGGGUUAAGUCCCGCAACGAGCGCAACCCUUGUCACUAGUUACCCAGCGGGUAAAGCCGGGAACUCUAGUGAGACUGCCGGUGCCAAACCGGGAGGAAGGUGGGGGACGACGUCAAGUCAUCAUGGUCCUUACGGUCCAGGGGCUACACACGUGCUACAAUGGAUGGGGACAAUGGGUCGCCAAAGCGCAAGCUGGAGCCAAUCCCAUAAAUCCAUCCUCAGUUCGGAUUGUCGUCUGCAACUCGACGGC